rnacentral:rRNA from 1 species
UGGGGAAUAUUGGACAAUGGGGGAAACCCUGAUCCAGCGACGCCGCGUGUGUGAAGAAGGCCUGCGGGUUGUAAAGCACUUUCGGUGGGAACGAAAUAUGCCGGGCUAAUACCCCGGUAGGCUGACGUUACUCAAUGAAGAAGCACCGGCUAACUCUGUGCCAGCAGCCGCGGUAAUACAGAGGGUGCGAGCGUUAAUCGGAAUUACUGGGCGUAAAGCGCACGUAGGUGGCGACGUAAGUCGGGUGUGAAAGCCCCGGGCUCAACCUGGGAACCGCAUUCGAGACUGCGUUGCUGGAGUACGGAAGAGGAGGGCGGAAUUCCCGGUGUAGCGGUGGAAUGCGUAGAUAUCAGGAAGAACACCUGUGGCGAAGGCGACAUCCUGGACCAAUUCUGACGCUGAGGAGCGAAAGCCAGGGGAGCAAACGGGAUUAGAUACCCCCGUAGUCCCUGAGCGGGCUGGCAAGGCGCAU